GAUGAACGCUGGCGGCGUGCCUAAUACAUGCAAGUCGAGCGAACAGAUGAGGAGCUUGCUCCUCUGACGUUAGCGGCGGACGGGUGAGUAACACGUGGAUAACCUACCUAUAAGACUGGGAUAACUUCGGGAAACCGGAGCUAAUACCGGAUAAUAUAUUGAACCGCAUGGUUCAAUAGUGAAAGACGGUUUUGCUGUCACUUAUAGAUGGAUCCGCGCCGCAUUAGCUAGUUGGUAAGGUAACGGCUUACCAAGGCAACGAUGCGUAGCCGACCUGAGAGGGUGAUCGGCCACACUGGAACUGAGACACGGUCCAGACUCCUACGGGAGGCAGCAGUAGGGAAUCUUCCGCAAUGGGCGAAAGCCUGACGGAGCAACGCCGCGUGAGUGAUGAAGGUCUUCAGAUCGUAAAACUCUGUUAUUAGGGAAGAACAAAUGUGUAAGUAACUAUGCACGUCUUGACGGUACCUAAUCAGAAAGCCACGGCUAACUACGUG
rnacentral:rRNA from 1 species